ACUAAGAUGGUAGAAUAGUACAUUAGAUUUAAGCUCUAAAUAAGAGAUUUAAUAAUCUCUCUUAGUU
rnacentral:tRNA from 1 species